rnacentral:rRNA from 1 species
AUGCAGGACGGUAAUCGAGAAGACAUGCUUAGCAACUUGCCUGAUCAUAUUUUGCUCACCAUUCUUGACCGGCUCAAUGUUCGCGACGCUGCAAGAACCUGUGUCCUCUCCCGACGGUGGCAGCAGCUCCCUGCUAUGCUCUCUCAAAUUAAGAUAGACGUUUUGGAUUUCCUCCCUGAGGGAACAACUGCAUGCUACCAACGCGAAAUUGUUCGAAUCAAUGGAGCUGCGGUUGAAGCAACAAAGAGCAUCAUGUCACGCAGGGAUCCAAGCCGAAACACCAUCCACCUCCUGUCCAUGAAGUUCUUUUUGAGAGACAAUGACACCAUAUCCAUUGGACAUGCUCUUGGACAGAUCAUGGCUACCCACAAGGUUGAGAUAGCCCAAUUCGCAAUUUUGACAGAGGCGCAUUACUCCCGCCGCGGCGAUGAUGAUCUGGUCUACUAUGGGAGAAAUUUUAUGUUGUUCUUUGAAGCUUGCCCGGGUGCAUUUGGUGGUCUCACGUGCCUCAAACUGCAGGAUUUGAGAUUUGGUAAAUCAGACAUCUGUAAUGUCCUCCUUACCUGCAAGCAACUAAAACACCUACGCAUGUUCAAUUGCGACUCAGGGGUUUGGGCCACACUGCAAGUUGAACACCUGCAGCUCAGUGAGCUUGAGAUCGUUAAUUGUUCAUUUAGAAAAGUCGUGCUCAUCUCCCUCCCAAAACUCACACAGAUGGCCUUUCAUGGUUGGAUCGCUUUCCAAGAUCCACUAUCAGUUGGUGAUGUACCAUUGCUCGAGACUGUAGAUCUCACCAAUGUUUGUCUUAGUAGCCACAAAAUGGUCAAGUUAAGUGAGUUUCUUGGUGGCACCUCUGUGCGUAACCUGAGGUUAGGAUUUGAGAGCGAAAAGAUUUGGGUGCAACCAGAACAUCUGACGAGACAGCUGGCAUCCGUGUUCUGCCAGCUAACUUUUGUGCAUAUGGCUGAAAUUCCAGAAGGGUAUGACCUCUCCUGGUCAUUGUUCAUUCUUGAAGCUGCACCCAACUUGAAGGAGCUAUAUUUGACGGUGUGGGAUCAUUUGUGUACAAUGGAAAUGGACAGGGAGAAGAGGAGGGCACUCUCGUAUAGCAUAAGGAAGGGUGUAAGGUGGGAAUCAUCUGCAUCUCGUUUCCAGCACCGGCGUCUGGAAACACUAGUAAUCUUUGGUUUUGAAUCUGAAGAAUACAUGCUGACGCAUGUCAGGUGUGUCAUGGAAGCAGCGGUGAAUCUAAAGAAUGUGUUCCUAUACAAUAGGCUGGCGUGUAAGAUGUGCCGCGACAACCCUCCGCCGUCCAGCUUCCCCUUUGCUGAGACUAAGAAGCUUUUGGUGGAGAAGAUAAUUACCAGUGGGAUCGAUUCAGCUGCCUCAAUUCACUUCCUGGCCGGCAAAACUAUAUGGGCUUCUCAUGUUGCAAAGAAGAACUUCCCAUAG